CGGGGCCGGAGCCGUGCGCGCCCCGCGGCUUUUCUGGGAGGGCGGCGGGGCCCUGGCGGGGCUGUGGUUUGGCAGCGCCUCGGGGAGAAGGGCACGGUCCCCGCAGCCGUGACUGGGCUGUAACGGGGAGCCGGACGCUGCCCGGCCGCGUGGUCGGGGCCGGCUGCUGGCAAAGGGGCCGGGGUCCCCGCCCUUUCCGGGCUGCGCUGUGCGCUUGGGGAGACCUUUGGGUGUCUGCGGGCACGGACGAGGCGUUCCGGAGCUCGGGCCCAGGGGAUUCAGCUGCAGGGAGGCUGCAGAGAAGGCUGCUCGGCACUGCUCCCCAAAAUGGACCCUCCCCGAAUGGGGUCUCGCAGAGGAUGGAGCAAUUGCAGCCACCGGGUCAUUGCUGUGAAAUUCGGAAGCAGCACAGGGGACUGGCCGAGGGGCUCAGCCUGGGCACGGCCCCAGCAGGAGCAGCCCUGGGCACACUGGCACAGGAGGAUGAGCCCAGGUGAGGAGCACGGCCCCAGCGUGGCACCAAGAGGCGCUGGCACAGGAGGAUGAGCCCAGACAGAGGAGACGCUGCUGCACCACGUCCCUGCAGAGCCCCGCCUCCCUCCUGCUCUCAGGGCUGGGACUGGGAGCCACCUCCGUGCAGACAGAGAGCGGCCCCUGGUCUGGCUUCACUCCCCGAGGGAAGAGGCUGCUCAGAGCUCCUGGUUAGGGACAUCCACGCCUGCGCCUGGCUGGCAAUCCGGGGUGCACCAGUUCCAGAUCCAGCCACGAGAGGUUCCUGCUGCAGCUGCAGGUGUUACCCAGUCCAGCUUGCUGAACCCCCAGCUCUGGCUGUGGCGUGUUCUUCAUUCCAGCUCUGGAACUGAGAUGCUGCAGUUGAUGGCUGCUCCAGUUCCUUCCAGCUCUGCCUUAAUAACUGCUGCUUUUUGUUACAAGCCACUUUAAAGCUCCAGCUAAUUGCGGUUAUCUGGGCUUUUGGCCAAGUUGUACAUGACUCACUGUCAUCAAUUACAUAUAGCUAUUGACUUUGUUAUAACUAUUAACUAUUUAUUGUCAUAAAGUUAUUGUUUAA